UACGUAGGGCGCAAGCGUUAUCCGGAAUUAUUGGGCGUAAAGAGCUCGUAGGCGGUCUGUCGCGUCUGCUGUGAAAACCCGAGGCUCAACCUCGGGCCUGCAGUGGGUACGGGCAGACUAGAGUGCGGUAGGGGAGAUUGGAAUUCCUGGUGUAGCGGUGAAAUGCGCAGAUAUCAGGAGGAACACCCGUAGCGAAGGCGGCACUCUGGGCCGAUACUGACACUGAGGAGCGAAAGCGUGGGGAGCGAACAGG
rnacentral:rRNA from 1 species